rnacentral:rRNA from 1 species
UACCCGCUGAAUUUAAGCAUAUAAAUAAGCGGAGGAAAAGAAACUAACCAGGAUUCCCUCAGUAACGGCGAGUGAAGCGGGAAAAGCCCAGCACCGAAUCCCCCGGCGUGACCGUCGGCGGGAACUGUGGUGUGUGGGACGCCAACAGUCGCGCUCGGACGGCACCCAAGUCCUCCUGAUCGAGGCCUCUCCCCGAGCGGGUGUAAGGCCUUUGGUCGGUGCCCGUCCGGCGCGGCCGCGAGCGUCUCAGGAGUCGGGUUGUUUGGGAAUGCAGCCCUAAGCGGGUGGUAAACUCCAUCUAAGGCUAAAUACCUGUGCGAGUCCGAUAGCGGACAAGUACCGUGAGGGAAAGUUGAAAANNNNNACGGGUGGAACCGCAAAGUCAUGCCCGUGGGAUUCAGCCCGUUCCCCGUCCGGUGCCGGCUCGUCUUGGGGACCGUGUCCCUGCGCCUCGUGCGCGGGGAUCGGCCCCGGCGGGUUCGUGAGCUGGUGGGGACGGGUGCACUUCCCGCGGGUGGAAAGCCACGACCGGUUCUGGGGCGGCCAUGAGCCUGCAGGAGAAGGUAGGUGUCGCUCGGGUUUUACUCGUCCGGCCUGUUACAGCUCCAGUGGGAUUUGGCGCCCGCCCUGGGGACCGAGGAACCACCUCGCCUAGGUCCCCGCCGUGUGGGCACGGCCGGCGAGGCCGAGACUGGGAUGCCCUCCCGUGUCGGUCACGUUCGUGCCGGGCUCGCCGCGCGGGCGACCGGGGCGUUGCGUGGGUCGGUGGCGACGCCGUCGGCACUCCACCCGACCCGUCUUGAAACACGGACCAAGGAGUCUGGCGUGCGCGCGAGUCAAGGGGUCGUACGAAACCCUAGGGCGCAGUGAAAGCGAGGGCCGCCUCGGGCUGGCCCAGGUGGGAUCCGUCGUCCGGACUAAUCCUCCGGCGGCGGCGCACCACCGGCCCGCCCCGUCCGCGUUGUCGGUGGGGCGGAGCAUGAGCGCGUACGCCGGGACCCGAAAGAUGGUGAACUAUGCCUGAGUAGGCCGAAGCCAGAGGAA